GUGGUUAUCGUAUAAUGUUAUUACCUCAGUGUCAGGCUGAUGAUGUGGGUUCGAUUCCCACUAACCACUUCA
rnacentral:tRNA from 1 species